UACGAAGGGGGCGAGCGUUGUUCGGAAUUACUGGGCGUAAAGGGCGCGUAGGCGGCGACCCAAGUCAGAUGUGAAAGUCCUGGGCUUAACCUGGGGACUGCAUUUGAUACUGGGUUGCUUGAAUUCGGGAGAGGAUAGCGGAAUUCCCAGUGUAGAGGUGAAAUUCGUAGAUAUUGGGAAGAACACCGGUGGCGAAGGCGGCUAUCUGGACCGACAUUGACGCUGAGGCGCGAAAGCUAGGGGAGCAAACGGG
rnacentral:rRNA from 1 species